rnacentral:tRNA from 1 species
GCUUCUGUAGUGUAAUGGUUAGUACGUUCUCCUUACACACAAAAGGUCCCUGGUUCAAAUCCAGGCAGAAACA